UAACUUUUAAAGUUUAGAAAACAAACAGGCCCUAUAUUAUAAAGGGAUAAUUGUCUUUAUAUCCCUCAAAAUUUUAAAAAUAUCUCAUUUAUCUCUUUUUUUUUUCUUUUCAAUAUAUUCCUCAUAUGUUUCUCUAUUGUACCAAAAUACUCCUACAGUUAUCACCCGUUAAGUUAAUUUGGAUUAAACCUGAGUUAAAUAUCUACAACAGUUAAAAAAAUUAAAAUGUCACUUUCGCCCUUAAUUUAAGGGCAAAUAAAAAAUAUUGGUGAUGGUAGAAAGGUAUAUUUAAAAAGAUAAAAAAGUAAAAUAUUUUUUGUGCCCCUAAUUUAAGGGCAAAUAAAAAAAAUCGGUGCGGGUAGUCGUGGAAGGGUAUAUUUGAAGAGUAAUGAAUGGCUCAGAUUUAGUACCUUUAAAAUUGUGACCUGCAAUAGCAGGUCACGAUUACUAGGUACCUCAAAAAAAAAUAUUUUUGUCUUUUAAUACAUUGGCAAUUUAGUCAUUUUACAUUUACUAUAUUUUCAAAAUUUUUAUUUUUUCUUUGUUUCCUUUUUCUCUCUCUAUCUUUUCUUUCAUAAUUUGACAUUUCAUAUAGAAAAAAUUUCAAAUGAUUUGACAAUAUGAUCAUUGAAUUUAAACAUUAAAUAGUAAUAUGAAAUUCCUCUAAUUUAAAUUUCACUUUUAAAUUUAAAAUUUAAUAUUAUAUUCAAAUUUAUAUUUUAAAAAUUUAAGUUUCAUAUAAAUACU
rnacentral:lncRNA from 1 species